GAGUCAUUAGCUCAUUUGGAUAGAGCAUUCGCCUCCUAAGCGAAAGGUGGUGCGUUCGAAUCGCAUAUGACUCA
rnacentral:tRNA from 1 species